AUAUUUUUUUUUUUUUCUUUCUAACGUCUUGUUUUUCUAGCUGUCUGACAUUCUUCACAUAGUGCUUGAACUCCCACCAUCAUUUUUGUCUGUUAUGAAAGUAAAAACAAGCAGUCCUCCUUGCCCAGUAAAUGUAUGGAUCUCUUUGCCAUGCUUUGGGUUGGGUACAAUUUUUAUGAGUUGGUUAUGGGAUGGUCCACAUUUCUAUGAAGACCUCUGCUGUGAAAUCACUCCAGUAAUUGUGUGGUGGUGAACCUUUCAAUUUCUUGAUAUUCAUACUAACAAUGUGUUCAGUUCCUCAUGAUCCACUUUUUGUUGGAGUUGUGGUUAAAAUAGAGUACCCCAAGAGCAGCCAGAUGAUCCAGGAACAAAUAUUUGCACUAUAAUGGAUUAUUAAAUAGAAAACCUUUUGUACUUUAAGAGUAGCUUGGUGUUCAAACUCCUCUACUUUUUGCCUCAUACAAUAUUCAACUUUUUGGAGCACACACAGUUGAUUUAGGGGGAUUAAUCUUUUGUACAUUCACUAUGCACCAGUAAACAAUUUUGCUUAAAUCUAGGACUUUGAUCGUAGCUUACUUUGAGGAGUUUUAUAUUGAUGUGAUUCAGAGUUGCAUAGAACAUCUGUCUGCUGGGUAAAACCUGUUCUAUAUCUCAAUGCUUCCAGGAAUGGUUAGAACCCAUCUUUCAGUUGCCAAAGUGCCUUCAAUUCAUAGUCUGUUGGUCACUUCUUUGUGAAUUGGCUCACAUCAAUAAAUGUGUAACUCAAGUACCCUGUCCAAUACAGGAGUUCCAUGACCUUGGGUACUACUCGUGUAGAAACAAUAUAUUAAUGUACUGCCUGUGUACACAAGUCUGAAACGAUGAAAGCUAAAACCAUAGCAAAUUCCACCUACACCGUUUUCUAUAAGCAAUCUCCUAGGUGUGUUGAUACCUUGGCUACAUGCAAAGAUCUAUUACCAUGUAAUGAUGCCAGUUCAGAGCUUUUUGUUUGUUUGGCAUAAUUCUUAUUGGCUGCAGUGAGGCAGAAAGCUGUUGAAGCUGUUGGCUUUUGCUGUAGUUUAAAUCCGUGUCAUCUGUGAAAUGUCUAAAGUGCUUUUUUUUUUUUUUUUUUCAUCUGAUAUGCUUCAAGCAGAUACGUUAAUACUUGAACUGUUGUCAAGUGUUUGUAAGCAAAGAAUGUACAUAUAUAUAUUUGUAUCACGUUGAAUGCAGGCAUAUGGAGUUGAGUAAUGAAAUAUUCAGGCACAAUCAAAUAAAAUGUGUCUGGCAGAAACAUGUACAUAUAUAAAAUUAUCUAUACAUUUUUAUUUUAUAUUUAACUCCUAUGUGCAAUGCCAACGUUUAUCUGAGGUUGUUUUUAUAUAAAAAAAAAAAAUCUCCUAUAGCACUAAAACAAAUGCCUACCUUUCAUUAAUUUUACAUUCCCCCACUGUUCUAUUUAAUUUUAGCAUGGCACUGUUUUCGCAUUUGUGAAGCAGUGCUACUUUUCAGUCAACUUUUGAUUCGUUUUGGAAAUGGACAUUGAAUUCUUUUAUUUUAUUUUUUCCUUAAUUAAUUUUUUACUUUGUUUUUGAGGUUUUUUUUUUGUUAUUCCUUUGUCACUAAAAAGGGUCUUUGCAGCUCCCAGAUUUACUGUGAUGCUGUAAGACUAAAGGUUACCUAUCAAUACCGGGCCAUGGCUAUUCCCUUUUACCUUAACACUGCUGGCAGCGUAGAUUCUGUGUCUAGGUGUAAUAGAAAAAUUUAUUUUGCAUUCAUUAAACUCGAAGUUUUGAGAGGAAAAAAAAGUUAAUGCUCCAACUUCUUUUUAAGCCCUGACAUCUUGCUUUUGUAAUUCUCUCUUUUAACCCACUUUUUUUUUAUGUUUUGAACUGCUUUAUUUUUUUUUUUUUGUAAGUUAUCCUAGAAUAGGUUUACAAACCAAAAUACUUCCUCAUUCACAUUCCACUUAAAACACACACAACAAAAACUAUUAGUCUGAUUCUUCUGAGCAUUACGACAAUAGUUUCUGUUCGGUAAUUCUAUUUAAGGGAGACUAACAGGCUAUAUAAGCUGCGACACAGUGGCAGUUUUGUAGAAAUGCCAAUUCUGAAACAGAGCUUUAAAAGUAGUUUUUUAAGAACCACUCCUCAGUUUUUCAUAGUGUUAAAUCAUCUAUUAGAACUGCCCAACAAUUAAUCUUCAGUAACUCCCAAUAUUCUCAAACACAAUUGUCCUCCUGCCACUUCUACACCCAGGACAUUGUAGGUUUCAUUGGAGCAGAAUUGUUAAACCACAAAGUUUUGAAGGUAUAUGAGGACUAGUUUGUAGGCCAUUGCUUGAAGAAAUGUACAUUUUGCUUGUGCUAUACAAGUUCAAAGCCUCCAUACAUUUUGGCUCCUUAGCAUUGUUACCUUCUGGUAUUUGGCUGCUCUUUGCGGUGUUGUAGAAACUUAUUGGGGGAAAGAAAUGGGAUUUAGCAUUUUCUAAAAUUGUUACAAUGCCAGUUUUCUUGCAAUUGGCUGCUCUGAAACCUGCAAUGUUUGACUUUUUUAUGUAUUUCUGUUGUGCCUUAUGUGGUUUUCCUUUUUUGUACAGUAAUUUUAAAUCAAUUGAAUGUUUUUGUAUAGAUCUAUUAAAGUUUGUAAAUUAUAAACAGCCUGUUUAAAAUGUGCUUUGUAUUCCUUUAUUAAUUGGAAAAAAAUAAAUUCUACUGAUGUAUUUUUGCAGGCAUGAGAAAAAAAAUUUCUGUGCAGUUCUAAAGCUGUUUAUAAUAAAGGUAUUUUCCACUUUAUCUGAUUUAUUAUUUAUAGAACUUCAACAUAUUCUGCAGCACUUUACAAUUAUACAGUGGUGAUACUUGGCAGCAAAUACAAAAACAAUAUAAUGGUGCGCAAGAAACAAAAUAAAUAUACUUUGAAUCCAGAAUUCCGCAAACCAAUUUGGGACACAUUAAAUACAAAUAUAGUGCAGACAAUUUGUAUAUAAAAACUGUUAAAGGGACACUAUAGUCACCAGUGCAACUACAUGUAUUCCUGACCCUAUAAUGUUUACACCACCAUCUAGCCCCCCUGUGCCCCUCAUGCCUCCAUAAAUAUAGUAAAAUUCUUACUGUAUUCAAGCCAGAAGCUGUAACUCUGCAUGCUGUUUGCCUAAAAAAAAGUCUGCUGACAUCAUUAGAAGUUGUAGCCUGAUCCAAUCACAAUGCUUCCCCAUAGGAUUGGCUGAGACUGACAAGGAGGCAGAUCGGGGCAGAGCCAGCAUGAUUCAAACACAGCCCUGGCCAAUCAGCAUUUCCUCAUAGAGAUGAAUUGAAUCAAUGAAUCUCUAUGAGGAAAGUUCAGUGUCUGCAUGCAGAGGGAGGAGAUACUGAAUCACAGUAUAUUGCCUCCAACUCCGAAGUCCCUCUGGUUCACUGUGAGUGACUGCAACUGGAGGUGUUCCUAGCUUUCAAUGUAAACACUGUAUUUUCACAGAAAAUAGUGUUUACAUGAGAGAGGCUGCAGGGAGCUAUAGUUCUCACCUGAACAACCUCAUUAAGCUGAAGUUGUUCAGGUGACUAUAGUGUCCCUUUAAAUAUGAAAUGAGUUAGAAAUAUUGUAUGGGGAGGGGGGGAGAGAAGGGGUUAUAGUGUGGGAACAGGGGCAGUGAGUGAAGAGGUUAUAGUGUGGGGACGGGGGCAGUGAGUGAAGGGGUGAGAG